rnacentral:rRNA from 1 species
UACAGAGGUCUCGAGCGUUUGUUCGGAAUUACUGGGCGUAAAGGGUUUGUAGGUGGCUUGUUAAGUCAGACGUGAAAUCCCUCAGCUUAACUGGGGAACUGCGUCUGAUACUGGUGAGCUUGAGUGCAGGAGAGGAACGCGGAAUUUCCGGUGUAGCGGUGAAAUGCGUAGAUAUCGGAAGGAACAUCAGUGGCGAAAGCGACUUCCUGGACCAAUACUGACGCUCAUGUGCGAAAGCGUGGGGAGCAAACAGG